AAAUUAAAUUCCAACCUAAACUCCUUAAGUCAAAGUUUUCAAGUUUUAAAGAAAAUCAUUCGAGGAAAAUUAUAUACAUAUAUUAAAACCUAAUUUUCUGACAUUGUUUAUUAAUAGUGAAAGGGGGACAAUGCCCUCGGUUUCUUCAUUGCUCUGAGUACUGUUUCCACUUUUCUACAGUGGAAAGUUGGUUACGCCCUUCCCAGGCACGGGUAUUUCAUCGUUUGUUUCGCUGCUUCGACCGCAUCUUUUUGCUUUACCCUUCCCCUUCGUUUUUCACCUUCAUUAGUCUGCGAUUUUCUCCCUCUUCGUCAGCCCGUCUUUUGCUCUCAAAUCCUUUCUUUGUCUUUCGGAAAAUAGUCUCGCAAGAGAUCCUACGUUUGAUUUUUUUUUUUUUUUUUUGGAUUUAGUUUCCAGUCUCUCCCGUAUUGAAUCCUUUGUUGUUCGGCGUUUUGUUCUCAUCUUGCGAUCGUCGGGGCAAGAACUUCAAGAGAAGAUAAUCAUCACAGCAAACUCAAUCUAACGAUACUUUUCCUGCUACUAAAAGCAUUCUCAACCUUCAACUUAAGUAAGUGCUCAAUUUUUAUAUAUCUACAUGGUUUACAUAGUUUUUAACCAUUACAUCACCCAUUGUCUUUAACUCUGUGUUGUUUCGAAUUGCUUACUUUACUGAAAUAAUUGUAUUUAAUCAUAUUUAAUAAAUGAAGUUCGUAAGUGAGAGAUCUUAGGUUCGAUUUUCGCCAAAGGUGAAUUUGAACCACACUAUUGCUAGCCCAUUGUGAGGCUAAGCUCACCCCUCCCCCUUAGUGUAGAUAAUAUCGAUUGUUCAAAAAUAAAAUAAAAUAAAUGAAGUUUGUAAAAUUGGUUUCCAGGUAUGGUUAAUCAGUUAAAAGGUUUGUUUAAUAAUUUGAAGAAAAAGAACAGAAGUCACUAAUGCAACAGGUAUGUCAUAACUUAAACAAAUAGGUUUCAAAAACAUGUAAAUACAAGGAUCCAACAGUAUGUAAAAUAAAUUAACGUUUUGUUACUUUUUUUUCAUUACUAUUCUACAUUUAAAUCCAAUAUUUACUGACCUUUCUCCUCAAGGGAAUUAGUUACUACUAAUUUAUACAGACUAUCUUCUAUUUAUCUAAUCUAAAUACAUGGCCAAUUCCUUGCCUACACAUUGAGAGGUUAAGUUAAACAUAAAAAAGUCUUAAGUAUAAACGUCCCCACUAGAGAUAUGCCAACUCCACAUGCUUUAAUUAAGCUAAGGAACAUCUUACCAAUAGAAGAAUUGUUAAAUCUAUCCAUGCACCGUUCCUGUUAGUCAUUGAUUAGAUUUAAUAAUUCUUCUACACCUAAUGUAUUCUUUCACUAAGUUAAAGCAUGUGGAGAGGGUGGAUCUUUGGUGGGAGCAUUUGUACUCAUACUAUUCCAUGUUUAUCUUAAACCUUUCAAUGCAUAGAUAAAAAAUUGGAUGUCACAUCCCAGUCUCGGCUCCGCUAUAGCACGAUAUUGUCCGUUUUGAGCUUACCAUUCCCUCACGGUUUUGUUUCUGGGAACUCACAUGAGAACGUCCUAGCGGGUCACCCAUCCUAGGAAUGCUUUCACCUGAAUUCGCUCAACUUCAGAGUUCUGAUGGAAUCCGAAGUCAGUGAGUUCUUAAAAGACCUCGUGCUAUAUGGAGGUGGGCAUGUACAUAUAAGGCACACCAUCUCCUCUCCGUUGGUUGAUGAGGGAUGUUACAUUGGCUAUACAUUUAGGAUAGGUCAAAUAAUAAAGUUUGUAUAUAAAUUGCUGAUAGUUAAUUCCUAUCAGGAGAAAAGAUGGAAAUCUGUAUUUUUCUUCCGAAUAAUGGAGCAUAAAAAACAUCUCUAUAUUGCAGAGAGCAACCUAUUUAGCUAAAUUUGAUCCAUCCUCUUAAUAUGCAUGGUUUGCAGUUUCUGAUUUUUAA